CCCGGGCGCACGGGUGAGUAACACGUAUACCAACCGCCGUCUACUCUUGGCCAGCCUUCUGAAAGGAAGAUUAAUCCAGGAUGGCAUCAUGAGUUCACAUGUCCGCAUGAUUAAAGGUAUUUUCCGGUAGACGAUGGGGAUGCGUUCCAUUAGAUAGUAGGCGGGGUAACGGCCCACCUAGUCAACGAUGGAUAGGGGUUCUGAGAGGAAGGUCCCCCACAUUGGAACUGAGACACGGUCCAA
rnacentral:rRNA from 1 species